rnacentral:rRNA from 1 species
UGGGGAAUAUUGCACAAUGGGCGCAAGCCUGACGCAGCGACGCCGCGUGAGGGAAGAAGGCCUUCGGGUUGUAAACCUCUUCAGUAGGGACGAAGCUACUCGGGUGAAUAGCCCAGAGGGUGACGGUACCUACAGAAGAAGCCCCGGCUAACUACGUGCCAGCAGCCGCGGUAAUACGUAGGGGGCAAGCGUUGUCCGGAUUUAUUGGGCGUAAAGAGCUCGUAGGUGGUUCGGUAAGUCGGAUGUGAAAUCUCCAGGCUCAACCUGGAGGGGUCAUUCGAUACUGCCGUGACUAGAGUUCGGUAGGGGAGUGUGGAAUUCCUGGUGGAGCGGUGAAAUGCGCAGAUAUCAGGAGGAACACCAGUGGCGAAGGCGGCUUACUGGACGGUAACUGACGUUGAGGCUCGAAAGCGUGGGAGCAAACAGGAUUAGAUACCC